CUUUUCUUCAUGAAGAUUAACAUGUCGAACCCUGGGAAGCCAACUCUUAAAUGAAAUCAGUUUCAAGAACUUGAAUACUCGUGGGUGGUUGAUUAACAUUCGAAACGGAAGAAAAUAAGGAAAACGAAUGACUGGUGAAGAAGUCCUCAUUGCAAGAGCCGAAAUUAUAAUUGAAAUAAUGAAAUAAACGAGAUUCGAUAUCCUUUAUACAAAAUAAUUAUUUUAAAUAGCUAUAUUUUAUCUAAUAUAAAUAAAAUAAUAAUAAAAAUUUAAAUAAAUUAAUAAAUUUAAUAACUUACAUGCUAAAAAUUUAUUCUUAAUCUCUCGUUUAAAAGUCAUUAAGAAGAAACGUAACACUGCCAUUGUUCUAGCACGGGCAUCUUUUAUAUUCGUUGUGAAGCCAACGAAUUUCUUUUCGAUUACGAAAGGGUUUCGACUCAUUACAAAGAUUGUGAUUGUUUUUAAAAUGUACGAAUUACGACAUAACGAUUUAUUGACUGCGUAAAAUCAUAGUUUUAUGUGAAAAGGAAACCUGUAAUUGUUAAAUAAUUUGUUAAUAUAAUAAUUGUUAGAUUUAAAUUUAAAAUUUUUAUUUUUAUUUUGAUGCUCUUAUAUUAUUUCUUAUAUUCAGGAAAAAAAUUCUAUGUGUGCAUCUAAAUAUGUAGUAAUUUUUCGGCAAAAAAAUAGAAAAAAGGUUUAUAAAAAUAAUCUUUUAGUUUUUUAUUUUAGUAAUAUUGAAUACACAACUGUUUACAUUUACAAUUACGAUGAAUGCUUACAAAUCGUUUAUAAUGUGAAUUGUAACAUUAACGAGUUUCAACAUUUAUUUAAAAUGUUAAAUAUUAGAAUCGAGAAUUGUUAUUAUUUAUUUAUAAUAAUUGAUAUUAUCUAAUCAUAUAAUAUUUAUUUUAAAUCUACAUACAUAGCAUAUGUAAUAAUCUAAUUCUCAUAUAUUACAGUUAACAUUAAAUUGAAAUUCGUGAAUAUAAUAAUAUUUGACAAAAAUUGAAGUAUUGUAUGAAAUAACAUAUUUAAAUAAUAACACGAAAUAAAUGAAAUAAUCUUUCUCUGUUUUUAUAAAAUAUUUGUAAAAAAUAUAUUUCUAUAAUUAUUAAUCUAAAUUAUAUUUAUUUUACUUAAAAAAUUUAAUUACAUACUAUUUUUUAUUUAAAUUAGCAUUUGUGAAAAAUGAAAUUAUAUAGAAUGUAUAUUUACUUAAUAUUAUCAAGUUUCAAAAAUCUACUUGAAUAUGAAAUAUUUAAUAAAAAAAAAAAAUUACAUACAUUGAAAGAAUUAAAAUUAUGUUAAUAUUUCAUCAGCCUUUUAUAAUCAUUAAAUCUUUUGAAUAAACUAUUAACAUAUUUUUAAAUAGAUUUUCUAAUGUUUUAAUAGCAAAAA